UUGACCAUUGUCCCAUGCUUGACAUAUUUCCGUCAUUUGCUGUUUGAGUAUUCGGUAUUCCUCGACCACAGUAGACUCUUGUUAAACCCUCCGACGCCGAGUCUCUUAAGCAUUUUCAACAGCUUCGAUGUCAGUUGUCAAUGGCAUUUUUCUCUUGAAUCUUGUGUUACCAGCUUACCACAAACCAACCUCUUUAAAAUUUCUUCACAAUUCAAAACAAAAGAUACGUUAGAAUGGACUAAGUCGGUCUUUAUUAUUAUCAUCAUUUUUUUAAUUAUUUUUUCAUUUUUUCAUUUUUUAAAUGGUGAUCGAACCUGAUGUGGGUUGCCUACAUAUCAUGUGGGAACAUGAAUCAGAUCUUGCGUAGUUCGAGAAGAUUAGGAAUUAAACUAAUUUUUUGUAAUUUUCGAAAAAAGACUUAUAAAGAAGAAAGAAAAUAUUUCUGGAUUUUGAUUUGUUUUUUUAAUUUUUUUGAAAGAAGGACUUCUACAUAAAAAAGAAAAAAUAUUUUUUUUAUUUUGUUUGUUUUUUUUUGAAUUUUUUGGGAGAAAGACUUCCAGGAAAGAAAAACAUAUUUUUGAAUUUUAGUUUGAUAUCUUUUUUGAAUGAAAGACUUCUAUAAAGGAAGAAAAUAUGUUUUGAACUUUUAUUUUUUGUUUUAUUUUGAGAGUUUCAAAAGAAACACUUCUAAAGAAGAAAGGAAAUAUUUUUGGGUAUUUGAACUUGUAUUUUGAAUUUAUGAAAGAAAUAUUUCUAAAGAAAAAAGAAAAUAUUUUUGCUAUCUUGAAUUUUCUUUCCAAUUUUCGAAAGAAGAAUUAAAAUAUUUUUAGAUUUUUUAGAAGAAAUUAAAAGAAAAUAUUUUUGAAUUUUUUUUUUUAAAAAUUUGGGUCUUAAGGAAAGACUUUCUAAAGAAGGAAGUAAUGAAAAUUAUUUUUGAAUUUUUUUUUUAAAAAAAUUGUGGGCAGGAACCGAUGAGGUUUGCCUACAUAUCUCACAUCCGGUGAGAAUCAGACCCACGUAGUUCGUCAAUUUUGACAAAAUCGGAAGAGACAUGUUAUUGACUCAUUUUGAAAUGACUCUUUUUCUUCUUUUUUUCGAAACAUUUCGGCAGAGUUUUGGGACAAUUUCAAAUAUUGAGGUUUUCAGAACCGAGCUUUAUUUCCUUCCUACAUCACUCUUGAUUUUUCUUUUGAUUUUCUUUUCCUAGCCGGUCAACAUGAAAGCCAAAACAAAUAAAUAUUCACAUAGCACAUAGGAUGCAUUAGGAUGAUUUGUUAUUUUGGGUACACCUAUCCUAGACGGACCCAACCCCUGUGUUGAGUCCCCAAAGUCAAAUGCACGUGAUGCAAACAAACGUUCCUACUAGGGAUCCGGUAUGAGAUUAUGUUAUUCUAGGUUUAAACCUGCGGUUGUGUUCGAGACCUGGCAUACCCGAGCGGACAGCUCGAGCCGAGAUAGGGGCAACGUACCGGGAGCACGAAAGUCAACCUGACCUUAUUGCUGACCCAGCCUCGUUCUAUUUGGUAUGACUUCUAACAGAAAAGUGGGCCACGCGUACGUGUGCACCAUAUUUUUAGAAGACUCAGAAUGGAGCCGUAAGAAGAUAGUUUAAUACAACUCAAAUAAUAUUAAAGCAGUAAAUAAAUGACAAUUAUCACAUUAGGUCCACAAAUACAGUAAGAUCAACAAACAAUAAAGCCAAGUAAAAAUCACAUUAAGAAGCUCGAAUUCUGAACCCUGAACCAGAGAUUAUGCGUUCUUUUCCCCAACAGAGUCGCCAGAGCUGUCACACCUCCUUUUUACCCGCAUAAUGGGAUAUAAGGGAGUUUUUCCAAUUAAAGUGACAAUAACCGAAAUGAGGUUAUUUAUAUUCAAAUUUAGAGUCGCCACUUGGGAUAAUUUAUGGUGUCCCAAGUCGCCGAAUUAAAAUCCCGAAUUGAGGAAGUUGACUCUUAUUUAUGGUCUGCGAACACAGAAGAUCGGGUAAGAAAUUCUGUUAACCCGGGAGAAGGUGUUAGGCAUUCCCAAGUUCUGUAGUUUUACCACGGUCGCUUUAAUCAUACAUGACUUAAUUAAAUUAUUUAAAUAUGUAUUAGGAACUAUAUGAAUUUACCCUUUUAACCACUUUUAAAUACUUGAUUAUUAGUGAUUGUGGAAUUAUCUUAAAACGAGUCACGCGUACGUGUACUCAUUUCCUUUGGCGCGUUAAGAAUCAUAUCACGCGUACGUGUCCAUAAUUAAUCAUGCUUUAUUAUUAAGAAAAAGCUUGGCAAAAGUUGCGUGAAUGCAUACCUUGAUUUAUUUUGGAAUCAUAAUUAUGUCACGCAAACGUAUUCAUAAUCACAAUAAUUUGAUUAAUUAAGAGUGUGCCUGAAGCUACUAACAUGUUCAUGAAUAUUAUAAAAUUAUUUACAGACUAAUAAAAGAGGGCAACUAUAUGAUAUUAACGGGCCUAGCAAAUUAAACAUACUUUGGUAAAAGAUUUUCUAAUUCAUAACAAACUUCAACGGCCCACUUUAUCCUUGCAACCCAAAUUCUUUCGCCUAACUUAAACAAAAACCCAAAGAAUCAGCAUAUUUCUCAUGAUAAGGUUGGCUCAAAAUUAGUUGUUUUUCACAACUCAACUACUAAACGUGACUCAUUAUUUAUGAACUAAAUUAGAUCUAAACACAUUAAAACUUGAAUAGUAAAAUAUAUUGGAUAAAGGCAACAUUAAAUGAAAAUAAACUAGUAUAAUCAACAUGCUUUCAACCACAAAAAGACAAAAUAACACAUAAUAACAAAAUAUACAAAGAAUAAAAUAAAAGAAGGGGAACUGGACCUUCAUUAAUGUAAAACCCUCUUUAGCAUAAUGGAAGAACUCCAUAGAAGUUGGAACAAAAGCCACAAAUCGCGACAGACCCACGACCAGAAACCUCGAAUCUUGCCGGGUAAAGCUCGUCAGAAAAUUAAACUCGAACCCGACUAAAAAUACUACUCCCUCCGUUCCAAUUUAUGUGAACCUGUUUGACUGGGCACGAAGUUUAAGUAAAAAAUCAAGACUUUUGGAAUUUGUGGUCCUAAACAAGUUCAAAUGAGGCCCAAAGUAUUUGUGUGGUUAUAAAAGCUUCUCAUUAAGGAUAAAGUUGUAACUUUAAGCUAAAUUGUUACCAAAUUUAGAAAGGUUUCAUUCUUUUUGGAACAGACCAAAAAGGAAAUAGGUUCACAUAGGAACAGAGGGAGUAUUUUUUUGAGGAAAAGGGGAUGUUUUCGAGGUGUUUAUUGCUGGUUGCGGGGCUGUUACAGGGGCUGAUUUUGUAGCUGCUUUAUGGUUGAUUUUUGGUGGUUAAAGGUGAUGAUUCCAACUAGGUUUGGUGCUGUUUUUUAGCAGCUAUUGGAGUCUUUUUUGGCUGGUUUUAGUCUGUUUUCUCGCUGGUUUCAUGGCUGAUUUUGUAGCUGUUUUUGCUACACAUUUAGGGUGAGAUUUGAGUAGAAAUUCGUGGUAGUUUAAUGCUGUAUUUGCUGCUUUUGGAAUUGAUUUUUGUUGAGUUUUCACUGCUGGUUUCGAGCUUGGUUUCAGGUAUAAAAUGGUGGUGUUUGGCUGAGGUUUUGGAGCUAUGUUAACGGGCUAAACAAGGGUGCUGGACGUGGCUGAUUUUGCCGGAUAUGAAGAUAGUUUAUGAGCUGGUUCAGUUGGUUUUUAUGGUGCAACAAUGGUGAAAAAAUAUUAUGGGUUAAUGAGGAAGAUGAGUGAAGUUUGGAGUGUUUAAUGGAGCUUUUGUAGCGUUUUCACUGCACUCCCAUGGUGAAAACGAAAAAGAAGAAGAAAAGCUGUGAAGAACUGAAUAUGGUGAAGAAAAGCUAUGAAGAUGGUGAAGAAAAGCUGUGUUUUGCUUUAAGAGGAAGAAAGGAACGCUUUCUUUUUCCUUUUGAUUUGUUUUCGACCUUUUUUUUUCGUUUUUCAUUUUCUGUUUUUCGCCCCCUGAUCUCCCCUAUUAUUUUUGUUCCCCAACUUUCCUUCUUAUAUUAUGUGUGUGAGUAUGAAGGAUGAAUAUUUGGAGGGAAGGAUGCCGGGGGUCUAUUUGGAAACAGUCUCUCUACCUUAGGGUAGGGGUAAGGUCUAAGUACACACUACCCUCCCACUACCCUCCCC
rnacentral:lncRNA from 1 species